GAGCAAGCUGGGACUUGCCAUCUUUCCAAGCUCAUCACCAGGGCCAACUUGAAGAGUUGUCCCUCCUGCCCAGCACGUUUCUCUCCCUUUUUCCCCCACUCCUUUGCCUGGGAUGACAUAGUCCUGGGUUGUCUUUGCUUUCGUGUGUGGGACUUCAAACUGGUUGAACCAAUUCAUAGUGGAUGAUUCACUGGACACGUUUUGGCCCUCACUUUGUUCCUACAGUGUCUGUCAGCAGCUCGCAGUUCUUAGAGCUGUGCUAUAGCUGCCAUUCUGCAUCACUGCCGUCCCCAGAGCCCCCAACACACACCAGGGAUGUACAGAUCAUCAUCAUGCUCCUUCCUGCAAUCAGUUCUGGGUGUCCUGCUGAUCCCUGACCUGCUAAGUCAAGGCUUUUCAAUGCCCCAGUUUGAGUGGCAGAGGUGAUUAGAUGAAUUUAUUUUUUUUUUGUUGGAUUGGAGCUGGACUGGACAAAGGAAACUAUCCAGAAUUCAGUUUGUAGUAGGUAAUAAGCCAUGAGACUGGUGAGGCCACGCAGUUUUUGGAGUAACCUGUAGCACUAGAGGUACACUAAGCACUUCUCUGCUUAGAACUUCUGCUCUAUUUGAGGCUGUUGCCAAGUGUGUGUGUGGGGGGGGAGUGUCAUCUCAACGAGGGUGGCCUCACUGCCAGCAUCGCUUCUGCCAGAGCUGUCGCCUGCAUCUGCAGAGCAAACUGCAAGCUCAGCUCUUCCCCAGCUCCCCUGCCUUAUUCCUUCCCUGAAUCCUUUUCCUUUCCAAGGUGGGAGCAGCCUGGCUCCCAGAGCAGCACAAUCCAGUUCUCCCUCCCUGGCUGAGGCAGCUGUGAGUCACUGUGCUCACGAGGUUCGUCAGCGGGAGGAACUGGUCCGGGGAACGUGACGGUGAUGCCGCUGGAGCGCGGCCAGCUCGGGUCUGUGCCCGUGGUGUUCCCUGUGGCACAGCGUCCGACGGCUGGAGACAGAGCAGCUGCUGUAUGUGGAGACCACUCACACCCACAGUGAUUGCUCCAGAGAGUGGCUUUCCUGUCGUGCUGUUCCAGUUGGCUGCAAGGAAGGUGCCAGAUCGAUGCACGUAUAGACAAUGCUGCUCAAGGCUGCUCCUUCAAGAGGGACGUUCCCCUUCCUUUGCCUGCAGGGCUGUGGGAUCCUGCUGGACUCCAGAGGGACCUGUGGUGCCUGAGGACUGGCUGGUUGGAUGCACAGAGCACCGUGAGUGGGUUGGAUUUGGGCAGGCAAACCCUCUGCCUGGCCCUACCUCCUGGCAACGAGGCGGUGUCAGCUCUGGCACAACUUCUGGGGCUGGAGGUACCAUCCUGCUGCCUACUCCAGUUGUCCAGCCACAGAGAUUUCCGCUGGGCCUCCCAAGGGUGUUUAAAAU